rnacentral:rRNA from 1 species
AUCCUUAGCGGCGGACGGGUGAGUAACACGUGGGUAACCUGCCUCAGAGUGGGGGAUAGCCUUUCGAAAGGAAGAUUAAUACCGCAUAAGAUUGUAGCGUCACAUGGCGCAGCAAGAAAAGGAGCAAUCCGCUUUGAGAUGGACCCGCGGCGCAUUAGCUAGUUGGUGAGGUAACGGCUCACCAAGGCCACGAUGCGUAGCCGACCUGAGAGGGUGAUCGGCCACAUUGGAACUGAGACACGGUCCAGACUCCUACGGGAGGCAGCAGUGGGGAAUAUUGCACAAUGGGCGAAAGCCUGAUGCAGCAACGCCGCGUGAGUGAUGAAGGCCUUCGGGUCGUAAAGCUCUUUGAUCAGGGAUGAUAAUGACAGUACCUGAAAAACAAGCCACGGCUAACUACGUGCCAGCAGCCGCGGUAAUACGUAGGUGGCGAGCGUUGUCCGGAAUUAUUGGGCGUAAAGGAUGCGUAGGUGGAUAUUUAAGUGGGAUGUGAAAUCCCCGGGCUCAACCCGGGAACUGCAUUCCAUACUGGAUGUCUAGAGUGCAGGAGAGGAAAGCGGAAUUCCUAGUGUAGCGGUGAAAUGCGUAGAUAUUAGGAGGAACACCAGUGGCGAAGGCGGCUUUCUGGACUGUAACUGACACUGA